UACGGAGGGGACUAGCGUUGUUCGGAAUUACUGGGCGUAAAGGGCUCGUAGGCGGCCAACUAAGUCGGAUGUGAAAUCCCCAGGCUUAACCUGGGAACUGCAUCCGAUACUGGAUGGCUUGAAUCCGGGAGAGGGAUGCGGAAUUCCAGGUGUAGCGGUGAAAUGCGUAGAUAUCUGGAGGAACACCGGUGGCGAAGGCGGCAUCCUGGACCGGCAUUGACGCUGAGGAGCGAAAGCCAGGGGAGCAAACGGG
rnacentral:rRNA from 1 species